CCCUCUCGGGUUACCGAAUUCAGACAAACUCCGAAUGCCAAUUAAUUUAACUUGGGAGUCAGAACAUGGGUGAUAAGGUCCGUGUUCGAAAGGGAAACAGCCCAGACCACCAGCUAAGGUCCCAAAAUAUAUGUUAAGUGGAAAAGGAUGUGGCGUUGCCCAGACAACUAGGAUGUUGGCUUAGAAGCAGCCAUCAUUUAAAGAGUGCGUAAUAGCUCACUAGUCGAGUGACACUGCGCCGAAAAUGUACCGGGGCUAAACAUAUUACCGAAGCUGUGGAUUGUCCUUUGGACAAUGGUAGGAGAGCGUUCUAAGGGCGUUGAAGCAUGAUCGUAAGGACAUGUGGAGCGCUUAGAAGUGAGAAUGCCGGUGUGAGUAGCGAAAGACGGGUGAGAAUCCCGUCCACCGAUUGACUAAGGUUUCCAGAGGAAGGCUCGUCCGCUCUGGGUUAGUCGGGUCCUAAGCUGAGGCCGACAGGCGUAGGCGAUGGAUAACAGGUUGAUAUUCCUGUACCACCUAUAAUCGUUUUAAUCGAUGGGGGGACGCAGUAGGAUAGGCGAAGCGUGCGAUUGGAUUGCACGUCUAAGCAGUAAGGCUGAGUAUUAGGCAAAUCCGGUACUCGUUAAGGCUGAGCUGUGAUGGGGAGAAGACAUUGUGUCUUCGAGUCGUUGAUUUCACACUGCCGAGAAAAGCCUCUAGAUAGAAAAUAGGUGCCCGUACCGCAAACCGACACAGGUAGUCAAGAUGAGAAUUCUAAGGUGAGCGAGCGAACUCUCGUUAAGGAACUCGGCAAAAUGACCCCGUAACUUCGGGAGAAGGGGUGCUCUUUAGGGUUAACGCCCAGAAGAGCCGCAGUGAAUAGGCCCAAGCGACUGUUUAUCAAAAACACAGGUCUCUGCUAAACCGUAAGGUGAUGUAUAGGGGCUGACGCCUGCCCGGUGCUGGAAGGUUAAGAGGAGUGGUUAGCUUCUGCGAAGCUACGAAUCGAAGCCCCAGUAAACGGCGGCCGUAACUAUAACGGUCCUAAGGUAGCGAAAUUCCUUGUCGGGUAAGUUCCGACCCGCACGAAAGGCGUAACGAUUUGGGCACUGUCUCAACGAGAGACUCGGUGAAAUCAUAGUACCUGUGAAGAUGCAGGUUACCCGCGACAGGACGGAAAGACCCCGUGGAGCUUUACUGUAGCCUGAUAUUGAAAUUCGGCACAGCUUGUACAGGAUAGGUAGGAGCCUUUGAAACGUGAGCGCUAGCUUACGUGGAGGCGCUGGUGGGAUACUACCCUAGCUGUGUUGGCUUUCUAACCCGCACCACUUAUCGUGGUGGGAGACAGUGUCAGGCGGGCAGUUUGACUGGGGCGGUCGCCUCCUAAAAGGUAACGGAGGCGCUCAAAGGUUCCCUCAGAAUGGUUGGAAAUCAUUCAUAGAGUGUAAAGGCAUAAGGGAGCUUGACUGCGAGACCUACAAGUCGAGCAGGGUCGAAAGACGGACUUAGUGAUCCGGUGGUUCCGCAUGGAAGGGCCAUCGCUCAACGGAUAAAAGCUACCCCGGGGAUAACAGGCUUAUCUCCCCCAAGAGUUCACAUCGACGGGGAGGUUUGGCACCUCGAUGUCGGCUCAUCGCAUCCUGGGGCUGUAGUCGGUCCCAAGGGUUGGGCUGUUCGCCCAUUAAAGCGGUACGCGAGCUGGGUUCAGAACGUCGUGAGACAGUUCGGUCCCUAUCCGUCGUGGGCGUAGGAAAUUUGAGAGGAGCUGUCCUUAGUACGAGAGGACCGGGAUGGACAUACCUCUGGUGUACCAGUUGUCGUGCCAACGGCAUAGCUGGGUAGCUAUGUGUGGACGGGAUAAGUGCUGAAAGCAUCUAAGCAUGAAGCCCCCCUCAAGAUGAGAUUUCCCAACUUCGGUUAUAAGAUCCCUCAAAGAUGAUGAGGUUAAUAGGUUCGAGGUGGAAGCAUGGUGACAUGUGGAGCUGACGAAUACUAAUCGAUCGAAGACUUAAUCAA
rnacentral:rRNA from 1 species